rnacentral:rRNA from 1 species
AGUGAACGCUGGCGGUAGGCCUAACACAUGCAAGUCGAACGGCAGCACAGUAAGAGCUUGCUCUUACGGGUGGCGAGUGGCGGACGGGUGAGGAAUACAUCGGAAUCUACUUUUUCGUGGGGGAUAACGUAGGGAAACUUACGCUAAUACCGCAUACGACCUACGGGUGAAAGCAGGGGAUCUUCGGACCUUGCGCGAUUGAAUGAGCCGAUGUCGGAUUAGCUAGUUGGCGGGGUAAAGGCCCACCAAGGCGACGAUCCGUAGCUGGUCUGAGAGGAUGAUCAGCCAAACUGGAACUGAGACACGGUCCAGACUCCUACGGGAGGCAGCAGUGGGGAAUAUUGGACAAUGGGCGCAAGCCUGAUCCAGCCAUACCGCGUGGGUGAAGAAGGCCUUCGGGUUGUAAAGCCCUUUUGUUGGGAAAGAAAAGCAGCAGGUUAAUACCCCGCUGUUCUGACGGUACACAAAGAAUAAGCACCGGCUAACUUCGUG